CAUGAAUUUAUAAUAGAGAAAGCAGCUUCCCUACCUGGCAACUGGAUAAUAUGUUAUAUUAAAUUUGUCACUGCUCUUUCACUGUUUAAAGUGAAAUGAAGAAUUCGUUAGCAAAAGAAAUACUUUAAGGUCUAAAUAAUAUAUCAAAUAUAUAUGUAAUACAACAUGAAAUUUCCUUUAUGUCAUAAGAAAUACUUUCUUAUCAUUUUAGAUAAAUUACAUGAACCAGAUGUGACACUCUGGAUUAUCAUCUUAUCUGCCAUUUAAUUUUAAUUUUGAAUUCCACUCAUACCAUUUUCCUUUUAAGAUCAUACAGAACACCAAUCACAAUGCCUUGUACGUGCCAAAUGACCAAAGAAGAUUUGAUGAUAUUUUAAAAUUCUCACACAACUUUUAUUUUUCAGCAUUUUAUUUGCUUCUUGUUAUAAAUAGGCAACAAGAUAAAAUAUAUGUGGGUGAAGAUGCUAGAAAUGUGACAGUUCUGGCAAAAACAAAGUUCUCCCAAGAUUUCAGCACGUUUGCAGCGGAAAUUCAGGAAACCAUCACAGCACUCAGAGAGCAGAUAAACAAGCUGGAGGCACGCCUGAGGCAGGCAGGGUGUACAGAUGUUAAAGGGGUUCCAAGGAAGGCCGAGGAGCGCUGGAUGAAAGAAGACUGCACUCACUGCAUUUGUGAGAGUGGCCAGGUCACCUGUGUGGUGGAGAUUUGUCCCCCGGCUCCCUGUCCCAGUCCUGAAUUGGUGAAAGGAACCUGCUGUCCAGUCUGCAG
rnacentral:sRNA from 1 species